GAUCAUGGCUCAGGAUGAACGCUAGCUACAGGCUAACACAUGCAAGUCGAGGGGCAGCAUUGGAGUAGCAAUACUUCAGAUGGCGACCGGCGCACGGGUGAGUAACACGUAUCCAACCUGCCGCUUAACUCGGGGAUAGCCUUUCGAAAGAAAGAUUAAUACCCGAUGGUAUAAAGAGUUCGCAUGUUCUCUUUAUUAAAGAAUUUCGGUAAGCGAUGGGGAUGCGUUCCAUUAGAUAGUUGGCGGGGUAACGGCCCACCAAGUCUACGAUGGAUAGGGGGUUCUGAGAGGAAGGUCCCCCACAUUGGAACUGAGACACGGUCCAAACUCCUACGGGAGGCAGCAGUGAGGAAUAUUGGUCAAUGGACGAGAGUCUGAACCAGCCAAAAGUAGGCGUGAAGGAUGACUGCCCUAUGGGUUGUAAACUUCUUUUAUAAGGGAAUAAAGUGAGGGACGUGUCCCUUUUUGUAUGUACCUUAUGAAUAAGGAUCGGCUAACUCCGUGCCAGCCGCCGC
rnacentral:rRNA from 1 species